AGACACCUUAACCUUAUCCAUGAGACUACUCUACUGUUAAGUAAUAAUUACAAUCGAAUCUAUUUUUGUAAUAGAAUUGAAAAUUAUUCAAAAAAAUAAAAAAAAAUUAUUUAAAAAAUUUGAAUCAGUAUAAGGUUUUUUCUUAUUAUUAUUUUUAUAUUACUUAAAUAGAUACAAUUGGGGUUUUUUACUAAAAUAAUCCAAAAGAAAUAAAAAUAUACCAAAAUAUACCCC
rnacentral:lncRNA from 1 species